UUUUCAUAGACGAAUGGACAAUCUGAGAGGACCGUUUACAUUCUAGAUGAUAUAGUUUAGACAGUGGUUUUAGAAAAAUGAGCUCAAUGUGAACAACUUCUGCUCAAAUCAAGUUUUUCGAUGACAAUAGUUUCUAGGCCGCUAUGACCAUGGCACCGCACGAAGCGCUCAACGGAAGAACGUGUCAAACCCCGUUUUAUUGGGAAAAAAAAGA
rnacentral:lncRNA from 1 species